CACAUUAUAUUUCUAGUAUAUUCUUAACCUUCAGACUUUGUCACUUAACAAUAUCAUAUCAGUAUCUGCACCAUGUUGUCAUGUUCUAAUCUGAUGAAAAUGACACUUCCUAGUUUCUGUUACCCAGCUUUAUCAAGAAUGUCUGUACUUUAUGGGAAAAUCUAUUUAGUAUUCAAGGCUUUAGACCAGUGGCAGAGUCCAUAUGAUGUUGAAGUUCAAACUUAUAUCAGUAGUUGCAAACUUGCAAUCUUAUCUUAAAGAAGAGAAUUUUAGAGAGAGGCAUGUUUCUGUUAAAGAUCUUACUUCUGAGGGGGACAUAAACCUGAACUUGCAAAACAAGCCACUAAGAAGAGGAAGACUAAAAAGGAAAGGUAGUAAUGCAAGCACCAAACACAGUAUGCAAGCACGGAGAACCAACACUAAACAAUCUAACCGAUUACAUACAUGAACCGAGGUUUGCUACUGGAAUUUUCACUACGGUAUUUAGUUCUGAUGCUGCUAUUCUUAGUUGCUUGAUAAGCCUUCAACAAAACUUUGUCCACCUAUGAUUUCAGUAGAGAAUAGCAUGACGAAUCUCAUUAUAUUUCUUUUAUUCUGCGGUUAUUUUCAACUUCUUUCUUUUGGUGGCCCAAAUCACUGUUUAUGGCCAGUCUCCACUCACCUAUCAAGUUUGAAGUUGAGCCUUUGUCAGUUUUACCAUUUUUCCCUCUUAAAGCUUAUGAACCUUUUAGCACUGAAGGUAAUUUAAUUGAGUGCUUCAGCUUUUAUCAGUGCCUAUAUGUUUGUGUUCAUCUAGGAAGUCAAACAAUGUAUCUAUUGACUUAUAAGUUAUAACCUUCUUUUUUUAAGGAUAUAAAGUAGACAAAACUCUCAAGAUAUCUAGCUUCUUUUUUAGAUUUUGGAAGUCAGAAGUAUGUGAGUUUUCCAGGUUUAUCUUUGUGGUAGUGAGCUCUAUGUGUCAAUUCAUUGAAUUCUUUGGCAAAGAUAGACAUUAUCUAAUUUCAGUCUAAUCAAUUCAUCAAUGAAAGUGUUGUGGCUGAAAAGUUUUGCUCUCAUAUUCUUCUGCAUUUUAAAAUAAUGCUAUUAUGUUCUUUUAUUUUUCUUUUUUUUGUGAACAAUAUAUUUUAUUAUUUUACCUGGUGGAAGAAAUUUGUCUGUUUCACAUCAUGAUCGGAGCACAACUUUGUAAUUUAUUUUGAAAUUCUCCAGAAAUUUCAAUUGAUGAUCGAAGGAGGUAUUAUGAUCUUUUGAAUAAUUAAAUUUUAGUCUAGUAUUUUUCAGCUCAAAGUUACUUCCUUAAUGUGCCCUUCUUUAAUUUAUUAUUGAGAUUUAUUUUGUCAUGCAUGACCUAUGCAUGUCGUAUUAAAUAUUCCAGAACUUCUUUG
rnacentral:lncRNA from 1 species